AUUGAACGCUGGCGGCAGGCCUAACACAUGCAAGUCGAGCGGAUGAAGAGAGCUUGCUCUCUGAUUUAGCGGCGGACGGGUGAGUAAUGCCUAGGAAUCUGCCUGGUAGUGGGGGAUAACGUUCCGAAAGGAACGCUAAUACCGCAUACGUCCUACGGGAGAAAGCAGGGGACCUUCGGGCCUUGCGCUAUCAGAUGAGCCUAGGUCGGAUUAGCUAGUUGGUGAGGUAAUGGCUCACCAAGGCUACGAUCCGUAACUGGUCUGAGAGGAUGAUCAGUCACACUGGAACUGAGACACGGUCCAGACUCCUACGGGAGGCAGCAGUGGGGAAUAUUGGACAAUGGGCGAAAGCCUGAUCCAGCCAUGCCGCGUGUGUGAAGAAGGUCUUCGGAUUGUAAAGCACUUUAAGUUGGGAGGAAGGGCAGUAAGCUAAUACCUUGCUGUUUUGACGUUACCGACAGAAUAAGCACCGGCUAACUCUGUGCCAGCCGCCGCCGUAACAC
rnacentral:rRNA from 1 species